GGGACAUUUGUUAUAAUCAGUGAACCAACACUGACGCAUCAUCAUCACCCCAGCGUCCAUAGUUUACGUUAGGACUCACUCAUGGUGUUGUAUAUUCAGUGACAUGAAUUCACCACUACGGUAUCCUACAGAGUAGUUUCACUGACCUAAAAAUCCUUUGUGCUCUGCCUAUUAUCCCUUCUUCCCCCAAUACCUGGCAACCACCGAUCCUUUUACUGUCUCCCUGGUUUUUGCCUUUUCCAAAAUGUCACAUAGUUGGAAUCAGAUCAGACGUAGCCUUUUCAGACUGGCUUCUUCCACUUAGUAACAUGCAUUGAGCGUUAAUCUAUGUCUUUUCACGGCUUGGUAGCACUUUUGUUUUUAUCGCUGAAUUGUAUUCUGUUGUCUGGAUAUAUCACAAUUUAUUUAUCCAUUCACCUCCAGAGGACAUCUUGGUUGCUUCCAAGUUUUGGCAGUUAUGAAUAAAGCUGCUGUAAACAUCUGUGUGCAGUUUUCUUGUGUGGACAUAAGUUUUCAAUUCAUUUGGGUAAAUUCAAGGAGUGCCACUGCUGGAUCAUAUGCUAAUCCAAGUCUAACUUCAGACAACACUGUCCUGCUUCACAGUUAGCACAAGUGUAUUACAGCAAAAUAUUAUGAAUCUCUCCCUCCCAUUCUUUGUAUCAUUGCUGUCAUUCAUUCCAUAUGCCAUUCAUAUAUAUAAACAUGUAUAAGCAUACAGAAUCAAAUACACAGUUGCUAUUAUUAUUUUGAGCAAACUGUUAUCUGUUAGAUCAAUUAAGAAUAAGAAAAAUGGGACUUCCCUGGUGGCACAGUGGUUAAGAAUCCGCCUGCCAAUGCAGGGAACACAGGUUCGAGCCCUGGUCCGGGAAGAUCCCACUUGCUGUGGAGCAACUAAGGCUGUGUGCCACAACUACUGAAGCCUGCGCGCCUAGAGCUUAGGCUCUGCAACAAGAGAAGCCACCACAAUGAGAAGCCCGUGCACCGCAAUGAAGAGUAGCCCCCGCUCGCCACAGCUAGAGAAAGCCUGCACGCAGCAACAAAGACCCAACGCAGCCAAAGAUAAAUAAAUAAAAUAAAUUUAUUUAAAAAAAUAAGAAAAAUUACAAA